AAACCAGCACCUCAAGUGGUCAGGAUGAUUAUUGGGCCUAAAGCAUCCGUAGCCGGCUCUGUAAGUUUUCGGUUAAAUCUGUACGCUCAACGUACAGGCUGCUGGGAAUACUGCAAGGCUAGGGAGUGGGAGAGAUAGACGGUACUCGGGAGGAAGUGGUAAAAUGCUUUGAUCUCUCGAUGACCACCUGUGGCGAAGGCGGUCUACCAGAACACGUCCGACGGUGAGGGAUGAAAGCUGGGGGAGCAAACCGGAUUAGAAACCCCGGUAGUCC
rnacentral:rRNA from 1 species